AGUUGAGUUGCUGGAUUAUAUGGAAACUCUGUUUGAGAAACUAGCAGACUGUUUUCCAAAGUGGCUGUACUAUUUUAUGUUUUCAUCAGCAGU
rnacentral:pre_miRNA from 1 species